CCUGGGUAGUGCCUUUGCCCAUUAAUCCGGGUCAUGCCAGGUAGGGAGAUGCACUGUCUUUAGCAUGCUUACAGGGUCUCUGUGGUUGUGCUGGCCAAGAGGGCACACGGUGUCUCUUAGCAGAGUCCAGACAACCCCAUCAGGGUUGUUUUCAGUAAAUGCACAUGGAUGUUGAUUUUAUGGAACAUGGAACCUAUAUCCCACUGAUUGAUUUAUACACAGUGCUGGGUUCACAGGCCUGCCCUGGGGGGCUGGCUUACUCUGUGACAUA
rnacentral:lncRNA from 1 species